AGCAGCCGCGGUAAUUCCAGCUCCAAUAGCGUAUAUUAAAGUUGCUGCAGUUAAAAAGCUCGUAGUUGAAUCUCGGGACUAAUAUGUCGGUCGUGCCUCGGUACGUACUGGUUUAUUGGUUUCUCCUUUCUGAAGAACCAUGAUGUCAUUUAUUUGGUGUCGUGGGGAAUCAGGACUGUUACUUUGAAAAAUUAGAGUGUUUAAAGCAGGCUCACGCUUGAAUACAUUAGCAUGGAAUAAUGAAAUAGGACGUUUGAUUCUAUUUUGUUGGUUUCUAGGAUCGACGUAAUGAUUAAUAGGGAUAGUUGGGGGCAUUAGUAUUCAAUUGUCAGAGGUGAAAUUCUUGGAUUUAUUGAAGACUAACUACUGCGAAAGCAUUUGCCAAGGAUGUUUUCAUUAAUCAAGAACGAAAGUUAGGGGAUCGAAGACGAUCAGAUACCGUCGUAGUCUUAACCAUAAACUAUGCCGACUAGGGAUCGGAUGAUGUUAAUUUUUUAAUUGUACUCAUUCGGCGUCCCG
rnacentral:misc_RNA from 1 species